rnacentral:rRNA from 1 species
ACGGGAGGCAGCAGUGAGGAAUAUUGGUCAAUGGGCGAGAGCCUGAACCAGCCAAGUAGCGUGCAGGAUGACGGCCCUAUGGGUUGUAAACUGCUUUUAUGAGGGAAUAAAGUGACGUACGUGUACGUUUUUGCAUGUACCUUAUGAAUAAGGACCGGCUAAUUCCGUGCCAGCAGCCGCGGUAAUACGGAAGGUCCGGGCGUUAUCCGGAUUUAUUGGGUUUAAAGGGAGCGUAGGCGGGCCUUUAAGUCAGUGGUCAAAGCGUGUGGCUCAACCAUACCACGCCGUUGAUACUGGAGGCCUUGAGUGCACAUAAGGAUGGUGGAAUUCAUGGUGUAGCGGUGAAAUGCUUAGAUAUCAUGAAGAACUCCGAUUGCGAAGGCAGCUGUCCGGGGUGUAACUGACGCUAAUGCUCGAAAGUGCGGGUAUCAAACAGGAUUAGAUACCCUGGUA